rnacentral:rRNA from 1 species
UACGGAAGGGGCUAGCGUUGUUCGGAAUUACUGGGCGUAAAGCGCGCGUAGGCGGCUUGGCGAGUGAGGCGUGAAAGUCCUGGGCUCAACCUGGGGACGGCGCUUCAGACUGCCUGGCUUGAGUCCGGAAGAGGGUGGUGGAAUUCCGAGUGUAGAGGUGAAAUUCGUAGAUAUUCGGAGGAACACCGGUGGCGAAGGCGGCCACCUGGUCCGGAACUGACGCUGAAGUGCGAAAGCGUGGGGAGCAAACAGGAUUAGAAACCCCCGUAGUCC